AGAGUUUGAUCCUGGCUCAGAACGAACGCUGGUGGCGUGGAUAAGACAUGCAAGUCGAACGAGAGAAUUGCUAGCUUGCUAAUAAUUCUCUAGUGGCGCACGGGUGAGUAACACGUGAGUAACCUGCCCCCGAGAGCGGGAUAGCCCUGGGAAACUGGGAUUAAUACCGCAUAGUAUCGAAAGAUUAAAGCAGCAAUGCGCUUGGGGAUGGGCUCGCGGCCUAUUAGUUAGUUGGUGAGGUAACGGCUCACCAAGGCGAUGACGGGUAGCCGGUCUGAGAGGAUGUCCGGCCACACUGGAACUGAGACACGGUCCAGACACCUACGGGUGGCAGCAGUCGAGAAUCAUUCACAAUGGGGGAAACCCUGAUGGUGUGACGCCGCGUGGGGGAAUGAAGGUCUUCGGAUUGUAAACCCCUGUCAUGUGGGAGCAAAUUAAAAAGAUAGUACCACAAGAGGAAGAGACGGCUAACUCUGUGCCAGCAGCCGCGGUAAUACAGAGGUCUCAAGCGUUGUUCGGAAUCACUGGGCGUAAAGCGUGCGUAGGCUGUUUCGUAAGUCGUGUGUGAAAGGCGCGGGCUCAACCCGCGGACGGCACAUGAUACUGCGAGACUAGAGUAAUGGAGGGGGAACCGGAAUUCUCGGUGUAGCAGUGAAAUGCGUAGAUAUCGAGAGGAACACUCGUGGCGAAGGCGGGUUCCUGGACAUUAACUGACGCUGAGGCACGAAGGCCAGGGGAGCGAAAGGGAUUAGAUACCCCUGUAGUCCUGGCAGUAAACGGUGCACGCUCGGUGUGCGGGGAAUCGACCCCCUGCGUGCCGGAGCUAACGCGUUAAGCGUGCCGCCUGGGGAGUACGGUCGCAAGAUUAAAACUCAAAGAAAUUGACGGGGACCCGCACAAGCGGUGGAGUAUGUGGCUUAAUUCGAUGCAACGCGAAGAACCUUACCUGGGCUUGACAUGUAAUGAACAACAUGUGAAAGCAUGCGACUCUUCGGAGGCGUUACACAGGUGCUGCAUGGCCGUCGUCAGCUCGUGUCGUGAGAUGUUUGGUUAAGUCCAGCAACGAGCGCAACCCCUGUUGCCAGUUACCAGCACGUGAAGGUGGGGACUCUGGCGAGACUGCCCAGAUCAACUGGGAGGAAGGUGGGGACGACGUCAGGUCAGUAUGGCCCUUAUGCCCAGGGCUGCACACGUACUACAAUGCCCAGUACAGAGGGGGCCGAAGCCGCGAGGCGGAGGAAAUCCUGAAAACUGGGCCCAGUUCGGACUGUAGGCUGCAACCCGCCUACACGAAGCCGGAAUCGCUAGUAAUGGCGCAUCAGCUACGGCGCCGUGAAUACGUUCCCGGGUCUUGUACACACCGCCCGUCA
rnacentral:rRNA from 1 species